ensembl:lncRNA
AUAAUGUCCAUCUAAAUCUUUUAUUUUUAUUGGCCAGUCUGAGAUAUGGCUUUUUCUUUGCAACCCUGCCUAGUAGGGUGGUUGAAUUAGUAGGGAUAAAUAGUGUCUAGUAGGGUGGUUGAAUUAGUAGGGAUGAAUAGUGCUGGUUAGGGUGGUUGAAUUAGUGGGGAUGAAUAGUGCUGGUGUCUCGUUGUGUGGUUGAAUUAGGAGUGAUGAAUAGGGCUGGUGUCUAGUAGGGUGGUUGAAUUAGUAGGGAUGAAUAGUGUCUCGUAGGGUGGUUGAAUUAGUAGGGAUAAAUAGUGUCUAGUAGGGUGGUUGAAUUAGUAGGGAUGAAUAGUGUCUCGUAGGGUGGUUGAAUUAGUAGGGAUGAAUAGUGUCUCGUUGUGUGGUUGAAUUAGUAGGGAUGAAUAGUGUCUCGUAGGGUGGUUGAAUUAGUAGGGAUGAAUAGUGUCUCGUAGGGUAGUUGAAUUAGUAGGGAUGAAUAGUGUCUAGUAGGGUGGUUGAAUUAGUAGGGAUGAAUAGUGCUGUUGUCUAGUAGGGUGGUUGAAUUAGUAGGGAUGAAUAGGGCUGGUGUCUCGUAGGGUGUUUGAAUUAGGAGUGAUGAAUAGGGCUGGUGUCUCAUAGGAAAGAAAAUACAGGUUUUCUCCAACGGCCCUUAAAUUGACUGGUAUUUAAUACCAUCCUUUGUAAUGAUAACUGUUGCUGUUCAACGACUAUUGAUGAAACAGAUGAAUACAUGUUUACUAUCCUUUGAAGACUCGUAAGUGUCUCCAUGUGUAUAUUGUCAUACACAUCUGGUACGCCCACUCAAUCAGGAAAAAACUAGACGGUUCUCUCUCCUACCGCACGGCAAGCGGUACCGGAACGCCAAGUCCAGGUCCAAAAGGCUCCUCAACAGCUUCUACCCCCCAAGCCAGAAGACUGCUGAACAAUUAAUCAAAUGGCCACUGGGAAUAUUUACAUUGACCCCCUCUCUUUGUUUUAACACUGCUGCUACUCACUGUUUAUUACCUAUGCAUAGCCACUUUACCCCGACCUACAUGUACAAAAUACCUCAACUAUCCUGUACCCCUGCACAUUGACUCAGUACGGUAUAUUGCCUCAUUAUUGUUAUUUUAUUGUAUAACUUUUAAAUUAUUUUUUACCUUAGUUUAUUUAGUAAAUAUUUUCUUAACUCUACUUUCUUUUAAAACUGCAUUUUUAGUUAAGGGCUUGUAAGACAGUAUUUAACGAUAAGGUUGUUUUUGGCGCAUGUGAUAAAUAACAUGUCAUUUCAUUUGAAAAGAUAAAGGUAUUCUGUCCCGAAGUUUGUUACUGUGAACGAAAAAUUACAUUCGGACUUCUCCACUUAGGAACUGUGUGUGACUGAACCUUCCCAAAUAGUGCUCCUGCUGUACGGUUUCCACUAGAUAACACAGCAACAAAGUUGUAUAUUAUAUUGUAUUGUAACAAUCUAUGAAAACAAGUUAGCGUUAGGCAACAGGUUAGCGGUGUGAUUAAGGUUAGGUUUGAGGUUAGGGUUAAGGUUAGGUUUAUAAUGAGAUUUUAUUAUUAUUUAGAGACGUUUUAGCCAUUAUUAUGACUUUGUGGCUGUGUUAACUAGUGACCACACUGCUAUACAGCAUGGGACGAUGUGUGACAGUUGGGACACAACAGACAGACAGACAGACAGACAGACAGACAGACAGACAGACAGACAGACAGACAGACAGACAGGCGGAGAGACAGACAGACAGGCAGACAGACCCAACCGUGUGUGAGGGGUAGCUAGCUACAUCAGUCCUCUCUCCUUUCAUCAGCCUUCUUAGUCUGUACAGGCUCCAGCGAGGGUGACGUCAUCCUCUCCACUGACACACAAAUCACAGUAUUAAUCACUUUUUCACGUCCAUAGAUAUGUGGAUCCACCGACUGGCCAAGAUCUAACUGACAUCUGAGACAACACUUUCUGCUGUAAAUACCUGGAGCUGUGGAAUCUCAGCACGUGUCUCUGUUACAAUGAAGCGUUGGACACACAGGACUCAACAAGCACAACUUCAGAAUUGGCAAAUCUGGUGAAGUGGAAGUAUUAAAAUCAGGGGUGGUUGAAUUAGUAGGGAUGAAUAGUGUCUCGUAGGGUGGUUGAAUUAGUAGGGAUGAAUAGUGUCUCGUAGGGUGGUUGAAUUAGUAGGGAUGAAUAGGGCUGGUGUCUCUUAGGGUGGUUGAAUUAGUAGGGAUGAAUAGUGUCUCGUAUAAAUGACAAAUACAUUUGGUUUUGUUCUCCAACGGCCCUUAAAUUGACUGGUAUUUAAUACCAUCCUUUGUAAUGAUAACUGUUGCUGUUCAACGACUAUUGAUGAAACAGAUGAAUACAUGUUUUCUAUCCUUUGAAGACUCGUAAGUGUCUCCAUGUGUAUAUUGUCAUACACAUCUGGUACGCCCACUCAAUCAGGAAACAAAUAUAACAAUCCAAUACAAACACAUGGUCGAGGAUGCAACAUACAGGUUUGAAUCAGACCUGUGGUUAUAGGGUCAACAAAUGAAAUGCUGAGCAAACGGACCUGAACGUUUUUCGCACAAAUGUUCAAACUCUGAUUGAUUGACACGGAAGUCAGAGUUAAUGUCCUGAAUGUCUGCCGAUCUCAAAUUCGGGAUUUGAUGAUUUUAUGAAUUGUCAAAAUGGUCAAUCUGGAAUUGGUACAUGCAUUUUGAAACCUUUUAAAAUUGUGAUUUAAUGAUCUGUUAACAAUGUGAUUCUGUUUGUAAUUUUAAGGUUUUUAAAUUUAACUAGGUAAGUCAGUUAAGAGCAAAUUCUUAUUUACAAUGACGGCCUACACCGGCCAAACCCGGACGACGCUGGGCCAAUUGUGCACCGCCCUACGGGACUCCCAGUCACAGCCGGUUGUAAUACAGCCUGUAAUCUAACCAGGGUCUGUAGUGACGCCUCUAGCGCUGAGAUGCAGUACCUUAGACCGCUGUGAUACAGCCUGUAAUCUAACCAGGGUCUGUAGUGACGCCUCUAGCGCUGAGGUGCAGUGCCCUAG